CACAACACAAAUACAAAAGCCACAACGGAAAUACAAAAGCCACAACACAAAUACAAAAGCCACAACGGAAAUAGCCGCAACGGAAAUAUAAAACUACAACGGAAGUGACGCAACAGUUGGUCGUUCUACAUGACGGUAGAAGAAGAAGAAGCUGACCCGGCAAAAAAAAAAAACAAAGAAGAAGGAGCUUUGCUUGUGGACUCACAAGCAAAUAUUGCCCGUUUGGUAAAUUCAAGAAUGGACUUGCUACUUCACAGUUUUUAACAGCCCUGCAGCAAUUUCCUAUGGCGCUGACUCCUGUCUUGUGCCAUUUUGAGAAAAAGUUAUCUGCUGUGGACAUCGAAAAUCUCUUCCGACCAGAGCUUAGUCCAGAUGGCAGCAACCAGAGAGCCCAGGAGAACAAGACAACAAGUUUCUGGGCCGACUACCUUCUUGACUGUGAAGAACAUAACAGUGAGGUGACCCUGGAGGAUGUCCUUAUGUUUGCCACAGGUGUGCCAUCUAUUCCUCUUGCUGGCAUGGACCCUCAGCCAUGUCUUGAAUAUAUUUACACCUCAAAAUUCCCUAUGGCAAAUACAUGUGCCAACACUUUAAAGCUGCCCCUCUUGGACAGCUACAUUACAUUCAAGCACAAUAUGAACUUUGUCAUUAAGAAUUCCCGUGGCUUUGGAUGCCUUUAGUCAGCAUGCAGCUGUUGUUAUUUUGGGCCAGGGGUCCGUUCUUCGUACGUUGCUAACUCAGUUAGCUGGAUUUGAUUGUUGAUGAUUUGGCAUGAUCUCGGAUUGUUUGGUCCUUCGAAAGUCAUCUUGGACUUGCUGUCAUAGCAACAUGUGCGGCAGUUUAAGCCUGCUCGUAAGCAGGCUUAUUUCAUGUAAACAGGAUUUGAUCGCAGCUUUAUAGGCGAAGGAGAUAGGGAACUCUGUCGUAGCCAUGUCCAUUUUUACGACAGCAACCUGUUGCGGAAGGUGCAAGAAUAAUUUCAGAGCUUUUCGAGUAAUCGCGUAUGGCGCAAUAGAGAGGAUCCUUUAGCGCAGCGCGACAGUGUAAUUGUAGAGAGAUUUAUCUUUGUGGCUGUUAUAAACAGACAAACAU